rnacentral:rRNA from 1 species
CAACUUUCAACAACGGAUCUCUUGGCUCUCGCAUCGAUGAAGAACGCAGCGAAAUGCGAUAAGUAAUGUGAAUUGCAGAAUUCAGUGAAUCAUCGAAUCUUUGAACGCACCUUGCGCUCNUUGGUAUUCCGAGGAGCAUGCCUGUUUGAGUGUCAUAAAU